CUCUCGAUAGCUCAGUUGGUAGAGCGAUUGACUGUAGAGGAGCAAAGCAUAUAUCAAUCGGUCGCUGGUGAGUGCUUCAAUCGGGAAAAUCCACCUAAUCACAUUGUGAUCCCAAAACUAACACAGUCAUCCUCAAAAUAACUUACCAGGUUCGAUUCCGGCUCGAGAGA